GCCGGAGUAGCUUAGUGGUUAAAGCAUCGGUCUCAUACGCCGAGGACCGUGAGUUCAAAUCUCACCUCCGGCA
rnacentral:tRNA from 1 species